CCCUGCGGGGCGUACACACCCCCUUCCCCUGGCCAGUGCACGGGGCGGGUUCCUGCAUCCCGGGUCUGUGGCUUGGACCUGGCUCUGUCUGCUUGAAGUGCAGGAACUGCUCAAACACGGAUGCAGCAUUAUUAUUGCCUCUGUCAAAGGUUAGAAGACUCUGGGUGACCGGCACCGCCUCCUGGAACCUGGGCUGAGGAGACUGCUGGGUGUGAGGUAGGAAGGACACUGAGGCUGUUAACUGAAUCUCCAGCUGGACGUUGGAUCGAGAGCACCACCUCGAAACACCACUGGGUCCUCAGACUUCACAGCAGACUUCUCAGCUGCCUGCAAACUUGCAUCUCAUCUCUAGUCCCCUUUGUUCCUCUGGAUAUGCAGUGAGCACUUCUAAGUUCCACCUGUUGGUUAUACUGGAGAUUUAACCUGGAACCUUGGGGCCUCAAGCAUGGAAAUCCUUUUGUUGGAGGGAAAUUUAGUGAAAGAAGCACCAGCACCCUUCCUCUGCAUUCUCCAGGAAGCCAGGAGAAGGGGCCAGAGGUGCCAGUGUGUCUGCAACCCACACCAAGACUCCCUCCCUCCCUGACUGCAAUGGCCAUAAAAUGCAGAUGAAGGCAGAUGUGAGCACCUGGAGGCAGAGGCUGAAGCAUCCUCUGAGGGGCCUUGCCUUUACCCAGAAGGGACAAUAAUACUGGGGAGACCAGGAAACAUCUUUUAUUUCUUGGGGGUUCUACAUGCCUACAUGGUUUUUAUGUUCUUCACCUGUCCUGUAUUUACUUUCACCCAAUAAAUGCUUAACUACUUGAAAUAUGA